rnacentral:rRNA from 1 species
AGCAGCCGCGGUAAUUCCAGCUCCAAUAGCGUAUAUUAAAGUUGUUGCAGUUAAAAAGCUCGUAGUUGAAUUUCGGGGUUAGUAGGUUGGUCAUGCCUCUGGUAUGUACUGGUCUCACUGAUUCCUCCUUCCUGAUGAGCCGUAAUGCCAUUAAUUUGGUGUUGCGGGGAAUUUGGACUGUUACUUUGAAAAAAUUAGAGUGUUUAAAGCAAGCUAACGCUUGAAUACAUUAGCAUGGAAUAAUGAAAUAGGACGUUCGAUCCUAUUUUGUUGGUUUCUAGGAUUGACGUAAUGAUUAAUAGGGAUAGUUGGGGGCAUUAGUAUUCAAUUGUCAGAGGUGAAAUUCUUGGAUUUAUUGAAGACUAACUACUGCGAAAGCAUUUGCCAAGGAUGUUUUCAUUAAUCAAGAACGAAAGUUAGGGGAUCGAAGACGAUCAGAUACCGUCGUAGUCUUAACCAUAAACUAUGCCGACUAGGGAUCGGAUGAUGUUAAUUUUUAAUGUACUCAU